AUUAAAAUGCUCAGGCACAAUGUUGGUAUUCUUUCCUCCAUUCAUAGCCACCCUCCCACUCCACUAUCAUGUUAAUAAAUGAAAACACUGAUAUAUUACCAUACACUAAGAAUUUUACAUACAUUAACUCAUUGAAUCUUCUUAAUAAUGUUAUGAGGUAGAUGUUCUAUUUACCCCAGUUGAGUUAGAUGAAGGACGUGAAGCACCAGCAAGUUAACUGAGCUACCCUAAGUUACAGGGGCUCAUAAGCAGUUAGGAUCAGAACACAGAACAGAGUAGCUUCAUGGCUGUGCACAAUACCCUGCACCGUCCCACCCUGACUCCUAGCCAUGUUUGAUGACAAAAUGUCAAAUCUUGCUCUUUGUGCAUAAUUUGCCUGAAGAUACAGAGAAAUUAUCCUGCCUCCACCCCAUACUCUUCACCCGGUCACAUUUGCCAGCUCAUGGGCCUAGAAAAGCAAUCUUCAGCUCUUUCCGAGUAAAGCAGGCUAAUAGAGCAAGCCUGCAGCCUGAAAAAAUUUGAUUUCACUCUUAAUAACAUACUUAAUUACAUUACAAAUCUAACAUUUUAUUUGACUCUCCCAAAUUGAAGUUCAGAGUCAAUUAGUUAAGUAAUAUGUAAAAAAAAACAAACAAACAAAAAAAAAAACAGGACUUGAGAACUUAGGGGAUGUGAUUCCGAAGUGCCCGAGUGGCAAUGUUUCCUGUGUGUCUGAGGCUCAAAAAUUUCACAUCGAGAGAGGUGCUGGAUUUCAAGUGUUGAGUGACUAUACUUGAAUCACAAGGCAAUUCAUUCCCAGAUCCCAGGUCAUCACAUAUCUCCAGAGAAAUAUAGGAGAUGAAACCAUGGGACGGAUUUACACACUCAAGGGGGCUCAUUUGAGAACUAUCCCAAAUGAGGAUGGGGGAGUAUCCAGGAAUGAUUCCGCAUGAUAUGCGUGCUUUGGCACUAUGAUUUCCUUACCCAAUUCCAAAUCUUGCACAUCAAAACAACAGAAAGACUCAUAAAUGCAGAAAAGCUCAUUAGCUGAAUAGUGGUGGCAGAAAUGAGGACAUAUUUGGCUGGAAAGUGUUUAAAUCCUUGUGAUCUCAGAGCUCAUAAUGUGUACAAACCCAAAGACAUCAUUAACCAUGUACAGAGUUGUGCUUCUGUAGUCCCUUUAACAUUGAACAUGAGAGAACAAGACUCCCUGGAAAUAAACAAAAUCCACCCCUAUGCCCCACACCUAACGUCAGGACAACCAAAAGGCAUGAAUGAAUGUAGAAAGCAAAAGUAUCCCAGAGCUUAACUUCUUGGACCGUGAAUUAUUCUCUAGUGUGUAAGGAAAUUAUAUUCCUGGAGGCAGCCUCUGAGGCAGUUUUAACCUAGAAACUUUUCCAGAAUCUGCCAUAAGCCCCUGCUUUAAGCCAGGGGCUCUAUCUGUUGAGUGUUGCUGCUUCUGCUGCUGUAACAAAUUACCAAAGCUGUAGUAGCUUAAAAUGACACCAAUUUAUUAUCUUAAAGUUAUUAUGGUCUGUAGUUCAAAAUGGGUUGGCAGGAUUGUGUUCCUUCUAGAAAUUCAAGAAGAGAAUCCAAUUCCUUGUCCUUUUCAAUUUCAGGGGGUUUCAUGCAUCCAAUGACUCACAGUCUCUUUCCUCCAUCUCUAAAGACAACAGAGGUUUGAAUUCUUCUGACACUGAAUCACUCUGACCUCUACUUUUCUUUUAACAUUUCUUCUCUGGUCUUAAUCCUGCUGUCUCAAUUUUAUAAAGCCCUUAUGAAUACAUUAGGUCCACUUAUGUAAUACAGGAUAAUCUGUCUAUCUGAAGAUUCUUAAUCACAUCUACAAAGUCCCCUUUUGCCAUGAAAGGUAACUGUGAUGGUUAAUAUUAAGUGUCAACCUGAUUGGAUUGAAGGAUGCAGAGUAUUGUUCCUGGGUAUGUCUGUGAGGGUGUUGCCAAAGGAGAUUAAUAUUUGAGUCAGUGGACUGGGAGAGGCAGACCCACCCCCAAUGUGGGUGGGCACCAUCUGGUCGGCUGCCAGUGCAGCUUGAAAAAGCAGGUGGCUUAAGCUGGCUUUUGCUGAGUCUUCUGGUUUUCAUCUUUCUCCUGUGCUGAAUGCUUCCUGCCCUUGAACAUCAGACUCCAGGUUGUUCAGCCUUUGGAUUCUUGGACUUACACCAGUGGUUUGCCAGGGGCUUUUGUGUCUUUGGCCACAGACUGAAGGCUGCAUUGUCAGCUUCCCUACUUUUGGGGUUUUGGGACUUGGACUGAGCCACUACUGGCUUCCUUGCUCCUCAGCUUACAGACGACCUAACUUGGGACUUCACCUUGUGAUCCUGAAACUAUGGUGGAUGUAUUCUAGACAGAAGAAGGAUUAAACCAAGAUAAAAACAAUGUGAAUGAGGAAAGUGGGAGUAACAGGGAUUCCAAGAGAAAGAUGCUGUGAGAAUGGGUAGCCAUCGAAAGCAAUUCUGUUCAUCAGACAAGAGUUCUUGCUAUUUACACCACAUCUGCAGUGACUUCCUCCACUGAAGUAUUGAACCUUUAAAGUCAUCCAUGAAGGUUGAAAUCAACUUCUUCCAAACUCCUCAUAGGAUUGAUAUUUUGACCUCCUCCCAUAAACGACAAAUUUUCUGAAUGUCAUCUAAAAUGGCAAUUUUUUUCCAGAAGGUUUUCAACUUUGCCCAGAUCCAUUAGAGGAAUCACUGUAGCAGUUAUAUCCUUAAUAAAUGUAUUUGUAAAAUAAUAAUACUUGAAAGUCAAAAUUACUCCUUAACUGUGGGCUACAGGAUAGAUGUUGUGUUAGCAGUCAUGAAAAAAACAUUAAUCUCCUUGAACAUCUUCAUCAGAGCUCUUGGGUAACCAGGUGCAUUGUCAGUGACCAGGAAUAUUUUGAAAGGAAUUUCAAAAGGUCUCAACAGUAAGGCUUAAAAUAUUCAAUAAACCAUACUGUAAACAGAUGUGUUGUCAUCUAGGCUUUGUUAUUUCAUUUCUAGAACAAAUGCAGAGUAUAUUUAGCAUAAUUCUUAAGGACCCCAGUAUUUUCAGAAGGGCUAAUGUGUAUCGUCUUCAUCUUAAAGCCACCAACUGUAUUAGCUCCUAAAAAGAGAGUCAGCCUGUUCUUUGAAGCUUUGAAGCUAGGCAUUGACUUCUUCUCUCUAGCUACAAAAGUUCUAGAGGGCAUCUUCUUCCAAUAGAAGGCAUUUUGGUCUACAUUAGAAAUCUGUUGUUUAGUGUAGCCAUGUUCAUCAAUUAUCUUAGGCAGGAGAACUUCAGCUGGAGAACUUGCUGUAGCUUCUUGCACUUGCUUCACUUGCACUUUUAGGUUGGAGACGGUUUUAUAAAGAUAAUUUAUUUUCUUAAAUCCCAUGAAUCAACACCUACUAGCUUUAAACUUUUCUCUUCAGCUUCCUCACCACUCUCAGACUUCAUAGAAUUGAAGAGGUUAAGGCCUUGUUCUGGAUUAAGCUUUGGCUUAAGGAAAUGUUGUGGCUGAUUUGAUCAUUUUUAUUCAGACCACUCAAAAUUUCUCCAUUAAGCCAUAGGCUGUUUUGCUUUCUUAUAAUUUGUGUGUUCACUGGAGUCACACUUUUAUUUUUUAGAGACAAGUUCUUGCUCUAUUGCCCAGGCUGCAGUGCAGUGACACAAUCAUAGCUCACUGCAACCUUGAACUCCUGGGCUCAAGUGAUCCUCCUGCCUCAGCCUCCCAGGUAGCUGGGACUAUAGACAUGCACCACCAUACUUGGCUUAUUUUUUUUAAAUAAGUCUUCACUAUGUUGCCCAGGCUGGUCUUGAACUCCUGGUCUCAAGGAAUUUCCCCACCUUAGCCUCCCAAAACUCUAGGAUUACAGGCAUAAGCCACCACACCUGUCCUGGAGUAGCACUUUUAAUUUCCAUCAAGAACUUUUCCCUUGCAUCCACAACUUGGCUACUUGUUGCAAGAGGCCUAGCUUUCAGCCUAUCCUGACUUUCAACAUGCCUUCCUCACUAAGCUUAGUCAUUUCUAGCUUUUGAUUUAAAGUGAGAGCCAUGUGGCUCUUCCUUUCACUUGAACACUUCGAGUCCAUUGUAGAGCUAUUAAUUGCCCUAAUUUUUUUAUUGUUGUUUUAAUAUUUGCUACUACCACCAAGAUCUGCGCCUGCAGUGGCUCCACCCAGGCCCAUGUUCUAUUAAGGGACAUUGCAAUGGCCCUUCUACUCAUCUUGGCAUAGUGUCUUUAGGCUUGGGAGAUCUGAGCACUGCUCUGUCCUUCCUGCUCUAGUCCCUCUACUAGCAAUGGCUGCAUAUUGGCUCAACUCCUCAGCACCAUCCAUUUUCAGGGACAGUUGAGUAGUCAGUUGAGUUGUUAUACACUCCUUAGUGGAUUCUGACUUCCAUGGUCACUGUACUGUUGUAUAAUCAACUAUCCUAAUUUCAACAUUGUUGUGUCUCAGGGAAUAGGGAGGCCUGAAGUUAAGGAGAGACAUGGAGCAAUGAUCAAUCAGUUGAGCAAUCAAAACACACACAACAAUUAUCAAUGAAGUUUACUGUCUUAUAUGGGCAUGUUUUCUGGUGCCACAAAACAAUUACAAUAGUAACAUCAAAGGUCACUGAUCACAAAUCACCGUAACAGAUAUAAUAAUAGUGGAAGUUUGAAAUAUUGCAAGAAUUACCAAAAUGUGUCACAAAGACCUGAUGGACUUGCUAGAGGCAAGGCUGCCAAAAACUUUCAAUUUGUUAAAUAUGCAAAAUCUGCAUGGUAAAAUAAAGCAUAGCACAAUAAAAAGAAAUAUGCAUGUAUACACUAUUUAUAAUGUAUAUCCCUACAUAUAAUAUAUAUCAAUAUAUAAUAAAUGUACGUAUUGUUACAUAUUUGCAAAUAUAUAUGGUGAAAUAUAUCCAUGAGUUGCCAAAUCUGUUUUCACAACAUUAUGAACCUUCAAAAACAUGCCCAGCAAGGAGUCAUGAUGGCUGUGCAUACCCACGAACAGGGUUGAUUAGAAACAACUGUUUCAUUUACACAACACUGGGUCAUAUGACAAAUAAAUAACAGCAACCUGCCUAUUUUUAAAAUUUUGACAUCUUGCUUCUCAUGAAUUUUUUUAAUUUUUGAUUUUUUAAAUUCAUUGCCUUAACUAUUAUUUAGCCUGAUUACUGAGUUUUUGGCACCACUUUUAAAAAAAUAACUCAUUUAUUUUGAAAUGAUUUUCAUUGUAUAUAUUUAUGGGGUACAACAUGACUUUUUCAUAUAUGUAUACAUAAUGGAACAAUUAAUCAAAGUAAAUAACAUAUCUUCACCUCAUAAACAUCUUUUCUGUGGUUAGAACAUUUAAAAUCUACUUUCUUAGCACUUUUCAAGUAUGUAGCACAUUAUUAUUAACUAUAGUCACUCUGCUGUAUAACAAAAUAAAUGUCCAGAACUUAAUCAUCUUGUUUAACUGAAUCUUUCUAUAUUUUGACAAACAUCUGUCCUUGUUCCCAGCCUAUGAAAAGAAUACCCUACUCUUUUGAGUUCAACUUUUUCAGAUUCUACAUAAAAGUGAGAUCAUACAGUAUUUUUUUCUGUGCCUAGCUUAUUUUACUUAGCAUAAUAUCCUGCAGAUACAUCCAUAGUAUCUCAAAUAGCAAGAUACCCUUUUUUCUAAGGCUGAAUCUUAUUCCAUUGUGUGUAUCCGUCCCAUUUUCUUUAUCCAUUCAUCCAUCAAGAGAUAUUAUUUUAUUGUCAUAUCUUGGCUAUGAAUAAUAGUUCGCUAUUAAGAAUAAUGCUGCAAUGAACAUGAGGCUGUAGAUACCUCUGUGACAUAACUGAUUUCAUUUCCUUUGGAUAUACACACAGAAGUGGAAUUGCUGGAUUAUGUGGUAGUUUUAUUUUUAAUUUUUGAGAAACCUCCAUACUACUUUUCAUAAUGGCUAUACUAAUUUACAUUCCCACAAACAGUGUGCAAGGGUUCCCUUUUCUCUACAUAUUUGCCAAUAUUUGUCUUUUGUAUUUUAAUAAAUGCUAUUCUCACAGGUGUGAAGUGAUAGCUCAUUCACACCUGUGAAUUUGCAUUCCCCUGAUGAUUAGUGAUGUGAAAUAUUUUUUUUUUUGUAUACUUAUUGGCCUUUUGAUUCUCUUCUUUUGAAAAAUAUUUAUUAAAGUUCUGUGCCCAUUUUUUAAUCAGUUUGUUUGUUUUCUUGCAUAGAGUUGAGUUCCUUAUAUAUUUUUUAAAUUAACCCUUUAUCAAAUAUAUUGUUGGUAUAGUUUGAAUAUUUGUCCCCACCCAAAUUUCAUGUUGAAAUGUAAUCCCAGUGUUGGAGUUGGACCCUGGUAGCAGGUGUUUGGAUCAUUGGGGAGGAUCCCUCAUGAAUGGCUUGGGCCGUCUCUUUGGUGAUAAGUGAGUUCUGGCUCUGAGUUCACAUAAGAUCUGGUCAUUUACAACUGUACAACAGCUCCUGGCUACUCUUUCUCUCACUUGCCACUGCCGUAUGGUGUUCCUACUCCCCCUUUGCCUUCCACCAUGAUUGUAAGCUUCCUGAAGCCUCCCCAGAGGCUGAGCAGAUACCAGCACCAGGCUUCCUGUAAAGCCUGCAGAACUGUGAGCCAAUUAAAUCCUUUUUCUUUAUAAAUUACCCAGUCUCAGACAUUUCUUUAGAUCAAUGUGAGUGAGCUAAUACAAUGGUUUACAAAUACUUUCUCUUGUUAAACAGGUUGUCUCAUGAAUAGCUUGUUGAAUGUUUCCUUUGGUGUGCAGAAGCUCUUUAGUUUGAUGUAAUCCCAUUGCUUUAUUUUUCCUUUUGCUGUCUGUGCUUUUGUGAUAAUAUUCAAUAAAUCUUUGCUAAUACCAAUAUCAUGGAGCUUUUCCUCUAGUUUUUG
rnacentral:lncRNA from 1 species